AGAAAAAUGCUGCUCUCAUAUUGAUAUGAACUGUAACUUCUCUCUUCUCUCUUUCUGCUGCAUUAUUAUUAAUGCGAAGUAGAACAAUUUCUCAGAAGCAGAGCAGCAGAGCGACAGUGUCCGUGCUGGAUGUGAAGAUGGGGCACACUCUGCUCUGUGUGCUGGGCUUAUUCUUGCUGAAUACACUCCUCUACGGACACGCUGAAGAUUGUAGAAGACAGACGUAUCUCAC